GGGGGCCCGCACAAGCGGUGGAGCAUGUGGUUUAAUUCGACGCAACGCGCAGAACCUUACCAGCCCUUGACAUGUCCAGGACCGGUCGCAGAGACGUGACCUUCUCUUCGGAGCCUGGAACACAGGUGCUGCAUGGCUGUCGUCAGCUCGUGUCGUGAGAUGUUGGGUUAAGUCCCGCAACGAGCGCAACCCCCGUCCUUAGUUGCUACCAUUUAGUUGAGCACUCUAAGGAGACUGCCGGUGAUAAGCCGCGAGGAAGGUGGGGAUGACGUCAAGUCCUCAUGGCCCUUACGGGCUGGGCUACACACGUGCUACAAUGGCGGUGACAGUGGGAUGCGAAGACGCAAGUCCUAGCAAAUCUCAAAAAGCCGUCUCAGUUCGGAUUGGGCUCUGCAACUCGAGCCCAUGAAGUUGGAAUCGCUAGUAAUCGUGGAUCAGCACGCCACGGUGAAUACGUUCCCGGGCCUUGUACACACCGCCCGUCACACCAUGGGAGUUGGCUUUACCUGAAGACGGUGCGCUAACCAGCAAUGGAGGCAGCCGGCCACGGUAGGGUCAGCGACUGGGGUGAAGUC
rnacentral:rRNA from 1 species